UACGGAGGGUCCAAGCGUUAUCCGGAAUCAUUGGGUUUAAAGGGUCCGUAGGCGGUUUUGUAAGUCAGUGGUGAAAGCCCAUCGCUCAACGGUGGAACGGCCAUUGAUACUGUUAGACUUGAAUUAUUAGGAAGUAACUAGAAUAUGUAGUGUAGCGGUGAAAUGCUUAGAGAUUACAUGGAAUACCAAUUGCGAAGGCAGGUUACUACUAAUGGAUUGACGCUGAUGGACGAAAGCGUGGGUAGCGAACAGG
rnacentral:rRNA from 1 species